AGCGGCAAGAGCUCAGAUUUGAAAUCUCACCUAGUGUGCGAGUUGUAAAUUGCAGGUUGGAGUCUCGGGUUAGACGUGUGUGCAAGUCCCUUGGAACAGGGUGCCACUGAGGGUGAGAGCCCCGUAUCGUGCAUGUCGACACCUGUGAGGCCCUUCUGACGAGUCGAGUUGUUUGGGAAUGCAGCUCUAAGUGGGUGGUAAAUUCCAUCUAAGGCUAAAUAUUGGCGAGAGACCGAUAGCGAACAAGUACUGUGAAGGAAAGAUGAAAAGCACUUUGAAAAGAGAGUGAAACAGCACGUGAAAUUGUUGAAAGGGAAGGGUAUUGGGCUCGACAUGGGAUUUACGCAUCGUUGCCUCUCGUGGGCGGCGCUCUGGGUUUUUCCUGGGCCAGCAUCGGUUUUCGUUGCAGGAUAAGGACAAUUGGAAUGUGGCUCCUCGGAGUGUUAUAGCCUUUUGUAGAUGCUGCGUAUGGGGACCGAGGGCUGCGGCGGACUCGUUUCGUCUCGGAUGCUGGCACAACGGCGCAAUACCGCCCGUCUUG
rnacentral:rRNA from 1 species